rnacentral:rRNA from 1 species
UACGAACUGCGCAAACGUUAUUCGGAAUCACUGGGCUUACAGGGUGCGUAGGCGGCCCAUCAGGUCAGAUGUGAAAUCCCACAGCUCAACUGUGGAACUGCAUUUGAAACCGAUGGGCUUGAGUGAGCUAGAGGUAUACGGAACUUCCGGUGGAGCGGUGAUAUGUGUUGAUAUCGGAAGGAACACCAGAGGCGAAAGCGGUAUACUGGAGCUUGUCUGACGCUGAGGCACGAAAGCCAGGGGAGCGAACGGG